ACGAACGCUGGCGGCGCGCUUUACGCAUGCAAGUCGAACGGACCUUCGGGUCAGUGGCGGACGGCUGAGUAACGCGUAGGUAACCUGUCCGGUGGUGGGGGACAACUUGCCGAAAGGUGAGCUAAUACCGCAUGAGUUCGGUUGGUGAAAUUCCGGCCGAGGAAAGCAGUAAUGCGCCACUGGAGGGGCCUGCGUCCUAUCAGGUAGUUGGUGGGGUAAUGGCCUACCAAGCCUGUGACGGGUAGCUGGUCUGAGAGGACGACCAGCCAGAAGGGGACUGAGACACGGCCCCUACUCCUACGGGAGGCAGCAGCGAGGAAUCUUGGGCAAUGGGCGAAAGCCUGACCCAGCGACGCCGCGUGAGGGAAGAAGGCCUUCGGGUCGUAAACCUCUUUUGUCGGGGAAGAAGUUCUGACGGUACCCGGCGAAUAAGCCACGGCUAACUACGU
rnacentral:rRNA from 1 species